rnacentral:rRNA from 1 species
UUAAGCGACUAAGCGUACACGGUGGAUGCCCUGGCAGUCAGAGGCGAUGAAGGACGUGCUAAUCUGCGAUAAGCGUCGGUAAGGUGAUAUGAACCGUUAUAACCGGCGAUUUCCGAAUGGGGAAACCCAGUGUGUUUCGACACACUAUCAUUAACUGAAUCCAUAGGUUAAUGAGGCGAACCGGGGGAACUGAAACAUCUAAGUACCCCGAGGAAAAGAAAUCAACCGAGAUUCCCCCAGUAGCGGCGAGCGAACGGGGAGCAGCCCAGAGCCUGAAUCAGUGUGUGUGUUAGUGGAAGCGUCUGGAAAGGCGCGCGAUACAGGGUGACAGCCCCGUACACAAAAAUGCACAUACUGUGAGCUCGAUGAGUAGGGCGGGACACGUGGUAUCCUGUCUGAAUAUGGGGGGACCAUCCUCCAAGGCUAAAUACUCCUGACUGACCGAUAGUGAACCAGUACCGUGAGGGAAAGGCGAAAAGAACCCCGGCGAGGGGAGUGAAAAAGAACCUGAAACCGUGUACGUACAAGCAGUGGGAGCCUCUUAAUGGGGUGACUGCGUACCUUUUGUAUAAUGGGUCAGCGACUUAUAUUCUGUAGCAAGGUUAACCGAAUAGGGGAGCCGAAGGGAAACCGAGUCUUAACUGGGCGUUAAGUUGCAGGGUAUAGACCCGAAACCCGGUGAUCUAGCCAUGGGCAGGUUGAAGGUUGGGUAACACUAACUGGAGGACCGAACCGACUAAUGUUGAAAAAUUAGCGGAUGACUUGUGGCUGGGGGUGAAAGGCCAAUCAAACCGGGAGAUAGCUGGUUCUCCCCGAAAGCUAUUUAGGUAGCGCCUCGUGAAUUCAUCUCCGGGGGUAGAGCACUGUUUCGGCAAGGGGGUCAUCCCGACUUACCAACCCGAUGCAAACUGCGAAUACCGGAGAAUGUUAUCACGGGAGACACACGGCGGGUGCUAACGUCCGUCGUGAAGAGGGAAACAACCCAGACCGCCAGCUAAGGUCCCAAAGUCAUGGUUAAGUGGGAAACGAUGUGGGAAGGCCCAGACAGCCAGGAUGUUGGCUUAGAAGCAGCCAUCAUUUAAAGAAAGCGUAAUAGCUCACUGGUCGAGUCGGCCUGCGCGGAAGAUGUAACGGGGCUAAACCAUGCACCGAAGCUGCGGCAGCGACACUAUGUGUUGUUGGGUAGGGGAGCGUUCUGUAAGCCUGUGAAGGUGUACUGUGAGGUAUGCUGGAGGUAUCAGAAGUGCGAAUGCUGACAUAAGUAACGAUAAAGCGGGUGAAAAGCCCGCUCGCCGGAAGACCAAGGGUUCCUGUCCAACGUUAAUCGGGGCAGGGUGAGUCGACCCCUAAGGCGAGGCCGAAAGGCGUAGUCGAUGGGAAACAGGUUAAUAUUCCUGUACUUGGUGUUACUGCGAAGGGGGGACGGAGAAGGCUAUGUUGGCCGGGCGACGGUUGUCCCGGUUUAAGCGUGUAGGCUGGUUUUCCAGGCAAAUCCGGAAAAUCAAGGCUGAGGCGUGAUGACGAGGCACUACGGUGCUGAAGCAACAAAUGCCCUGCUUCCAGGAAAAGCCUCUAAGCAUCAGGUAACAUCAAAUCGUACCCCAAACCGACACAGGUGGUCAGGUAGAGAAUACCAAGGCGCUUGAGAGAACUCGGGUGAAGGAACUAGGCAAAAUGGUGCCGUAACUUCGGGAGAAGGCACGCUGAUAUGUAGGUGAAGUCCCUUGCGGAUGGAGCUGAAAUCAGUCGAAGAUACCAGCUGGCUGCAACUGUUUAUUAAAAACACAGCACUGUGCAAACACGAAAGUGGACGUAUACGGUGUGACGCCUGCCCGGUGCCGGAAGGUUAAUUGAUGGGGUUAGCGGUAACGCGAAGCUCUUGAUCGAAGCCCCGGUAAACGGCGGCCGUAACUAUAACGGUCCUAAGGUAGCGAAAUUCCUUGUCGGGUAAGUUCCGACCUGCACGAAUGGCGUAAUGAUGGCCAGGCUGUCUCCACCCGAGACUCAGUGAAAUUGAACUCGCUGUGAAGAUGCAGUGUACCCGCGGCAAGACGGAAAGACCCCGUGAACCUUUACUAUAGCUUGACACUGAACAUUGAGCCUUGAUGUGUAGGAUAGGUGGGAGGCUUUGAAGUGUGGACGCCAGUCUGCAUGGAGCCGGCCUUGAAAUACCACCCUUUAAUGUUUGAUGUUCUAACGUUGGCCCCUUAUCGGGGUUGCGGACAGUGUCUGGUGGGUAGUUUGACUGGGGCGGUCUCCUCCUAAAGAGUAACGGAGGAGCACGAAGGUUGGCUAAUCCUGGUCGGACAUCAGGAGGUUAGUGCAAUGGCAUAAGCCAGCUUGACUGCGAGCGUGACGGCGCGAGCAGGUGCGAAAGCAGGUCAUAGUGAUCCGGUGGUUCUGAAUGGAAGGGCCAUCGCUCAACGGAUAAAAGGUACUCCGGGGAUAACAGGCUGAUACCGCCCAAGAGUUCAUAUCGACGGCGGUGUUUGGCACCUCGAUGUCGGCUCAUCACAUCCUGGGGCUGAAGUAGGUCCCAAGGGUAUGGCUGUUCGCCAUUUAAAGUGGUACGCGAGCUGGGUUUAGAACGUCGUGAGACAGUUCGGUCCCUAUCUGCCGUGGGCGCUGGAGAACUGAGGGGGGCUGCUCCUAGUACGAGAGGACCGGAGUGGACGCAUCACUGGUGUUCGGGUUGUCAUGCCAAUGGCACUGCCCGGUAGCUAAAUGCGGAAGAGAUAAGUGCUGAAAGCAUCUAAGCACGAAACUUGCCCCGAGAUGAGUUCUCCCUGACUCCUUGAGAGUCCUGAAGGAACGUUGAAGACGACGACGUUGAUAGGCCGGGUGUGUAAGCGCAGCGAUGCGUUGAGCUAACCGGUACUAAUGAACCGUGAGGCUUAACCUU